UACGUAGGUGGCAAGCGUUAUCCGGAAUUAUUGGGCGUAAAGCGCGCGCAGGCGGUUUCUUAAGUCUGAUGUGAAAGCCCACGGCUCAACCGUGGAGGGUCAUUGGAAACUGGGAGACUUGAGUGCAGAAGAGAAGAGUGGAAUUCCACGUGUAGCGGUGAAAUGCGUAGAGAUGUGGAGGAACACCAGUGGCGAAGGCGACUCUUUGGUCUGUAACUGACGCUGAGGCGCGAAAGCGUGGGGAGCAAACAGG
rnacentral:rRNA from 1 species